rnacentral:misc_RNA from 1 species
UUCUAUUCUGAUAUCAGGGAUGCU